GUAGAAUUCCAGGUGUAGCGGUGAAAUGCGUAGAGAUCUGGAGGAAUACCGGUGGCGAAGGCGGCCCCCUGGACAAAGACUGACGCUCAGGUGCGAAAGCGUGGGGAGCAAACAGGAUUAGAUACCCUGGUAGUCCACGCUGUAAACGAUGUCGAUUUGGAGGUUGUGCCCUUGAGGCGUGGCUUCCGGAGCUAACGCGUUAAAUCGACCGCCUGGGGAGUACGGCCGCAAGGUUAAAACUCAAAUGAAUUGACGGGGGCCCGCACAAGCGGUGGAGCAUGUGGUUUAAUUCGAUGCAACGCGAAGAACCUUACCUGGUCUUGACAUCCACAGAACUUUCCAGAGAUGGAUUGGUGCCUUCGGGAACUGUGAGACAGGUGCUGCAUGGCUGUCGUCAGCUCGUGUUGUGAAAUGUUGGGUUAAGUCCCGCAACGAGCGCAACCCUUAUCCUUUGUUGCCAGCGGUUAGGCCGGGAACUCAAAGGAGACUGCCAGUGAUAAACUGGAGGAAGGUGGGGAUGACGUCAAGUCAUCAUGGCCCUUACGACCAGGGCUACACACGUGCUACAAUGGCAUAUACAAAGAGAAGCGACCUCGCGAGAGCAAGCGGACCUCAUAAAGUAUGUCGUAGUCCGGAUUGGAGUCUGCAACUCGACUCCAUGAAGUCGGAAUCGCUAGUAAUCGUAGAUCAGAAUGCUACGGUGAAUACGUUCCCGGGCCUUAUACACACCGCCCGUCACACCAUGGGAGUGGGUUGCAAAAGAAGUAGGUAGCUUAACCUUCGGGGGGGCGCUUACCACUUUGUGAUUCAUGACUGGGGUGAAGUCGUAACAAGGUAGCCGU
rnacentral:rRNA from 1 species